rnacentral:rRNA from 1 species
AACGUAGGAGACAAACGUUAUCCGGAGUUACUGGGCGUAAAGGGCGUGCAGGUGGUCUGUUAAGUCUGGCGUGAAAGCUCUCGGCUAAACCGGGAGAGGUCGUUGGAUACUGGCGGACUAGAGGACGGUAGAGGCGUGUGGAAUUCCGGGUGUAGUGGUGAAAUGCGCAGAUAUCAGGAGGAACACCGGUGGCGAAGGCGGGUCUCUGGGCCGAUACUGACGCUGAGGAGCGAAAGCGUGGGGAGCAAACAGG